rnacentral:rRNA from 1 species
GAUUAACGCUAGCGGCAGGCAUAAUACAUGCAAGUUGAACGACAGCACAGGUAGCAAUACUGGGUGGCGAGUGGCGCACGGGUGCGUAACACGUAUGCAACCUACCCUAUACAGGCGAAUAACCUUUAGAAAUGAGGGCUAAUACGCCGUAGUAUUACAGAUGGGCAUCUAUUUGUAAUUAAAGAUUUAUCGGUAUAGGAUGGGCAUGCGUCCCAUUAGUUAGUUGGUAAGGUAACGGCUUACCAAGACGAUGAUGGGUAGGGGAUCUGAGAGGACUUACCCCCACACUGGUACUGAGACACGGACCAGACUCCUACGGGAGGCAGCAGUAAGGAAUAUUGGGCAAUGGCCGCGAGGCUGACCCAGCCAUGCCGCGUGCAGGAAGACGGCCUUAUGGGUUGUAAACUGCUUUUAUACGGGAAUAAUAGAGUGUACGCGUACAUUUAUGCAAGUAUCGUAUGAAUAAGCAUCGGCUAACUCCGUG